AGAUAACGUCGGAGACGCGCCGUGCUCCCCUUUCAUCAUUGCCAAAGGAGAGAACUUUCUGAUUGCCGGGGUAUUUACACUCUGUAUUGAUACCCGUGCUGUGAUCGAAUCCACCACACGGUGCCAGGCAUUCAAGUUGAUGUUCUUUACACACUUCGCCUUUACUAUUGAAUACCGCAAGGAGGUCAGCCUAACCCUGGUGUUCACACAAAGGGCAGCCGCAGCAGUCAACCCUGACAGAGGGAGCAAAGUCGAGAAGUCAAGGAAGCAGUGCCGCCUCACACGACAAAUGACCAACUUAAUCAAAGCUCUGCGAGACUAUGAAUGCUAAGUGUUACGACGAAAAAUUUGCAGUGUCAUUAUGAAUAUACCGUAUUUACUCGAAUCUAAGCUGAUGU
rnacentral:lncRNA from 1 species